rnacentral:rRNA from 1 species
CAGCAGCCACGGGAAUACGUAGGGUGCGAGCGUUAAUCGGAAUUACUGGGCGUAAAGCGUGCGCAGGCGGUUCGUUAAGACAGAUGUGAAAUCCCCGGGCUUAACCUGGGAACUGCAUUUGUGACUGGCGAGCUAGAGUAUGGCAGAGGGGGGUAGAAUUCCACGUGUAGCAGUGAAAUGCGUAGAGAUGUGGAGGAAUACCGAUGGCGAAGGCAGCCCCCUGGGCCAAUACUGACGCUCAUGCACGAAAGCGUGGGGAGCAAACAGGAUUAGAGACCCCAGUAGUCCCUGUCUCUUAUAA